CAGCCGCCGCGGUAAUACAGAGGGUGCGAGCGUUAAUCGGAAUUACUGGGCGUAAAGCGUGCGCAGGCGGUUAUAUAAGACAGAUGUGAAAUCCCCGGGUUCAACCUGGGACCUGCAUUUGUGACUGUAUAGCUAGAGUACGGUAGAGGGGGAUGGAAUUCCGCGUGUAGCAGUGGAAUGCGUAGAUAUGCGGAGGAACACCGAUGGCGAAGGCAAUCCCCUGGACCUGUACUGACGCUCAUGCACGAAAGCGAGGGGAGCAAACAGGAUUAGAUACCCCCGUAGUCCCUGUCCUUAUACA
rnacentral:rRNA from 1 species